rnacentral:rRNA from 1 species
UAUGUGAUCGUCUCUCGCAUAUCAAUAAGCGGAGGAAAAGAAACUAACAAGGAUUCCCCUAGUAACGGCGAGUGAAGCGGGAAGAGCUCAAAUUUGAAAUCUUAAAGGGUUUCCCUUUACGAAUUGUAGUUUAAAGAAGUGUUUUCUGUUGAGGUUUUGGUAAAAGUUCUUUGGAAUAGGACAUCAUAGAGGGUGAGAAUCCCGUAUUUGACCUUUACUUUCAACUUUGUGAUACACUUUCAAAGAGUCGGAUUGUUUGGGAAUGCAGUCCAAAAUGGGUGGUAAAUUUCAUCUAAAGCUAAAUAUUGGCGAGAGACCGAUAGCGAACAAGUACCGUGAGGGAAAGAUGAAAAGAACUUUGAAAAGAGAGUUAAACAGUACGUGAAAUUGUCAAAAGGGAAGCGUUUGACACCAGUGUUGUUUUUCUGAAAAUCAAUUAAAGAACUGUUUAUGCUAAGUUGUUUAGACUUUAUCUAGCUAAUCUGUUUAGUUUUGAGCUUUUCUUUAAUGCACUUUUCAGUUAACAAGUCAACAUCAAUUUCUUUUGCUGUAAAAAAGCUUGAGGAAGGUGGCUUGAGAUUCGUCUUAAGUGUUUAUAGCCUCUUGCCUAUGCAGUCGGAGAGAUUGAGGUCUGCAGCGUAGAUCCUUCGGGGCUAAAUGCAUUUGUGCUAAGUUAUAGCAUUUUAUAGACAACUUGUUGACUAUGAUUUGUCUUGUAGCUUACUCGCUUAUGUUAUUUUACCUACGCUUAGGAUGUUGAGCGCAUGUCUCUCUCU